AAAUGAAUUGACGGGGGCCCGCACAAGCGGAGGAACAUGUGGUUUAAUUCGAUGAUACGCGAGGAACCUUACCCAGGCUUAAAUUGCAGUGGAAUAUGGAUGAAAGUUCAUAGCCUUCGGGCCGCUGUGAAGGUGCUGCAUGGUUGUCGUCAGCUCGUGCCGUGAGGUGUCGGCUUAAGUGCCAUAACGAGCGCAACCCUUAUCUUUAGUUACUAACAGGUGAUGCUGAGGACUCUAAAGAGACUGCCGUCGUAAGAUGCGAGGAAGGUGGGGAUGACGUCAAAUCAGCACGGCCCUUACGUCUGGGGCUACACACGUGUUACAAUGGGGGGUACAGAAGGCAGCUACACAGCGAUGUGAUGCUAAUCCCAAAAGCCUCUCUCAGUUCGGAUCGAAGUCUGCAACCCGACUUCGUGAAGCUGGAUUCGCUAGUAAUCGCGCAUCAGCCACGGCGCGGUGAAUACGUUCCCGGGCCUUGUACACACCGCCCGU
rnacentral:rRNA from 1 species